UACGUAGGUCCCGAGCGUUGUCCGGAUUUAUUGGGCGUAAAGCGAGCGCAGGUGGUUUAUUAAGUCUGGUGUAAAAGGCAGCGGCUCAACCAUUGUAUGCAUUGGAAACUGGUAGACUUGAGUGCAGGAGAGGAGAGUGGAACUCCAUGUGUAGCGGUGAAAUGCGUAGAUAUAUGGAAGAACACCAGUGGCGAAAGCGGCUCUCUGGUCUGUAACUGACGCUGAGGUUCGAAAGCGUGGGUAGCAAACAGG
rnacentral:rRNA from 1 species